rnacentral:rRNA from 1 species
UACAGAGGUCUCAAGCGUUGUUCGGAUUCAUUGGGCGUAAAGGGUGCGUAGGCGGCGCGGUAAGUCGGGUGUGAAAUCUCGGGGCUUAACUCCGAAACUGCAUUCGAUACUGCCGUGCUUGAGGACUGGAGAGGAGACUGGAAUUUACGGUGUAGCGGUGAAAUGCGUAGAUAUCAAGUGGAACACCAGUGGCGAAGGCGAGUCUCUGGACAUGUCCUGACGCUGAGGCACGAAAGCCAGGGGAGCAAACGGG